CUUGAACGCUGGCGGCAGGCCUAACACAUGCAAGUCGAACGAGUGGCGGACGGGUGAGUAAUGUCUGGGACACUGCCCGAUGGAGUGGGAUAACUACUGGAAACGGUAGCUAAUACCGCAUACCAUCGGAUGUGCCCAGAUGGGAUGAGCUAGUAGGUGGGGUAACUGCUCACCUAGGCGACGAUCCCUAGCUGGUCUGAGAGGAUGACCAUCGACACGUGAAUUGAGAAACGGUCCAGACUCCGAAGGGAGGCAGCAGUGGGGAAUAUUGCACAAUGGGCGCAAGCCUGAUGCAGCCAUGCCGCGUGUAUUAAGAAGGCCUUCGGGUUGUAAAGUACUUUCAGCGAGGAGGCGUUACUCGCAGAAGAAGCACCGGCUAACUCCGUGCCAACAGCCGCGGUAAUUC
rnacentral:rRNA from 1 species